UUUCAAAUCCAUUCUACAUAUCAGGAGAGUCAUAUGCUGGAGUUUAUGUGCCAACUCUUGCCUCCAAUGUAGUAAAAGGAAUUAAGAAAGGUGAAAAGCCUCUGAUCAAUUUCAAGGGUUACCUCAUUGGAAAUGGGAUUGCAGAUGAUGAAUACGAUGGCAAUGGUCAUGUGCCUUUCUUCUUUGGUAUGGCGCUGA